rnacentral:rRNA from 1 species
ACAAACGCUGGCGGCGUGUCUUAAGCAUGCAAGUCGAGCGGCAAGGGCAGCAAUGCCCCCUAGAGCGGCGGACUGGUGAGUAACGCGUGGGUGAUCUACCUUGGGCAUGGGGAUAGCCAUUAGAAAUAGUGGGUAAUACCGAAUACGUUCCAUAUCGUGAGGGUAUGGAGGAAAGGCGCUACGGCGCCGGCCUGAAGAUGAGCUUGCGUCUGAUUAGCUAGUUGGUGAGGUAAAGGCCCACCAAGGCGAUGAUCGGUAGCCGGCCUGAGAGGGUGUACGGCCACACUGGGACUGAGAUACGGCCCAGACUCCUACGGGAGGCAGCAGCUAAGAAUAUUCCGCA